AACGAACGCUGGCGGCAUGCCUAACACAUGCAAGUCGAACGAGACCUUCGGGUCUAGUGGCGCACGGGUGCGUAACGCGUGGGAACCUGCCCUUAGGUUCGGAAUAACUCCCCGAAAGGGGUGCUAAUACCGGAUAAUGUCUUCGGACCAAAGAUUUAUCGCCUUUGGAUGGGCCCGCGUUGGAUUAGCUAGUUGGUAGGGUAAAAGCCUACCAAGGCGACGAUCCAUAGCUGGUCUGAGAGGAUGAUCAGCCACACUGGGACUGAGACACGGCCCAGACUACUACGGGAGGCAGCAGUGGGGAAUAUUGGACAAUGGGCGAAAGCCUGAUCAAGCAAUGCCGCGUGAGUGAUGAAGGCCUUAGGGUUGUAAAGCUCUUUUACCCGGGAUGAUAAUGACAGUACCGGGAGAAUAAGCUCCGGCUAACUCCGUG
rnacentral:rRNA from 1 species